rnacentral:misc_RNA from 1 species
GAAAAGUCAAUUUUUUGAGCGAAUCGUACCUUGGUUAGGCAAAGGUAGGAAACUUUGUGAGGUGAGUUCUUAUGUGCUCUCUCACAAAGGGGUCUGCUUCUUGCAGCUAUGGCGGAUUAGCCAUUUUUCUGAUAUAUUUUAAGAUAAUCUGAGCGACUUUUCUGUUAAAUUUAGUUCUUCAAUGACUGGUCCUUCUGUUACAUUCUGUUCAUGUUCUUUCUUUUUGAAGAAUCUCAAUUUCAAAAGAAUUUUUUAUGUAUUCUUCUCCAAAAAUUCCUAGAGAGAAA